rnacentral:rRNA from 1 species
UGGGGAAUUUUGGACAAUGGGGGAAACCCUGAUCCAGCCAUCCCGCGUGUGCGAUGAAGGCCUUCGGGUUGUAAAGCACUUUUGGCAGGAAAGAAACGUCGCGGGUUAAUACCCCGCGGAACUGACGGUACCUGCAGAAUAAGCACCGGCUAACUACGUGCCAGCAGCCGCGGUAAUACGUAGGGUGCAAGCGUUAAUCGGAAUUACUGGGCGUAGAGCGUGCGCAGGCGGUUCGGAAAGAAAGAUGUGAAAUCCCAGAGCUUAACUUUGGAACUGCAUUUUUAACUACCGGGCUAGAGUGUGUCAGAGGGAGGUGGAAUUCCGCGUGUAGCAGUGAAAUGCGUGGAUAUGCGGAGGAACACCGAUGGCGAAGGCAGCCUCCUGGGAUAACACUAACGCUCAUGCACGAAAGCGUGGGGAGCAAACAGGAUUAGAUACCCUGGUAGUCCACGCCCUAAACGAUGUCAACUAGCUGUUGGGGUCUUCGGACCUUGGUAGCGCAGCUAACGCGUGAAGUUGACCGCCUGGGGAGUACGGUCGCAAGAUUAAAACUCAAAUGAAUUGAC